GUUCGCGUACACACGGGUCUUUCAUGAACUCCUAUUAUUCCAUCAAGUUUAAAACCGCAUGGACGAAGCCAAAGCUAACCCGUACAAAGGCGUAUCUAAGGAGAAGUUGGAAUGAUCCUCUCGGGCAAUGUCAUGUCACACCAUUUGGAUUCUCUGUUAUGAUGAAAAAGCUGAUGGACUUGGCCGAAGGUAAAAUUGUGAUGGCUUUGGAGGGGGUACAAUUUGGACUCUUUAGCAAAUUCAGG